rnacentral:lncRNA from 1 species
UUGGAUCAUCUUCUUAGGAUCUUUUUCUUUUAACAGGAUAGAGAUCAGUUGCUCGACUGGUUCACCCCUUUUUUUAUUUUCUCUUUGGUCUAAUUUAUCGACGAACAAAAAGUCUUCAGAUUGAUUAUUCUUUAUAGAGACCAUGAAGCAACGUCGAGCAAGUCAUUGAUCUCUAUACAUUUUUUUGACUCUAUUUUUUGUUAUAAAUUAGAUCAAUAAAUGAUAUGUUGAGACUACUGC